rnacentral:rRNA from 1 species
CUACGGGUUGCUGCAGUGGGGAAUAUUGCACAAUGGAGGAAACUCUGAUGCAGCAACGCCGCGUGGAGGAUGACGCUUUUCGGAGCGUAAACUCCUUUUAUAUAGGAAGAAGAUGACGGUACUAUAUGAAUAAGCGCCGGCUAACUCCGUGCCAGCAGCCGCGGUAAUACGGAGGGCGCAAGCGUUACUCGGAAUCACUGGGCGUAAAGAGCGUGUAGGCGGAUUAAAAAGUCAGAAGUGAAAUCCUAUAGCUUAACUAUAGAACUUCUUCUGAAACUCUUAAUCUAGAAUAUGGGAGAGGUAGAUGGAAUUUCUGGUGUAGGGGUAAAAUCCGUAGAGAUCAGAAGGAAUACCGAUUGCGAAGGCGAUCUACUAGAACAUUAUUGACGCUGAGACGCGAAAGCGUGGGGAGCAAACAGGAUUAGAUACCCUUGUAGUC